CUUCUCUUCCCCCUCAGGGCCUAGAGGAGGCCACGCGCGGGGUCUCCGAGCUCUAGGGUCCGGAGCUCUAGGGUCCUUUUAUGUAGCAAAGUCAGGCCUGGGAACAGAACUUCAUGUGCUUGUAAAAAGUCUCAGGUGCGUCCUUCGUUGUUUUAGAGACUUGGAGAGGAAUGGGGGCGGGGGGAACAAAAUCCGAGGACAGUCGAGCCAAGAAAAGUCAGGGCUUCUAGGAUGCCAACCACGCCAAACAGAUCAAAACCAGGACUGGAGGAUUGAAGAUGAAGCCGGCAAAAAGUCACCAGCCACGGCUCUUGUAAGGUAUGCUUCACCUCUCCUGCUAAGUCUUCAUCCCUGUCUAUGAGGACAAAGAAGUUACGGGUUAAAUUGGCGAUGGGCCAGGUGCUCCUUGAGGAUGCUCUAAAGUUGGUGAUAGAAAAUGGGAGAACUGAAGACAACCACUUUAUAAAACCCUUGCCUGCUUGAAUUUGUGGUGAUGAACCGGCCCCUGGGAUUUGCUGCUCAGGACCCGAGUUCAGUGAGACAUCAGGAGCAAGCACUGGAGGCCGGGUGCUGCUGGACCCAGAUGGGAGCCAUGCAGGACUUGACCAUGGCCUGCACACACUUCUUCCCAGGAGAAGGGGAGUGAGGAAGGUCUGGAUCCCCUAGGGUUGCCACCAGGAUCACCAGAAAGUUUGUUAAAUAGAGAAGCACUUGAUAGAAGGCACCUGGAUAAGGAUGGACAGAAAUCAGAGGCCUUGGCUAUCUGGAUUCUGACUUCUUCAAAAAGAUGAGAUGAUAGAUGAGAAAAGCCCGUCCGUGGUGUUAGAGACUUUGGCCCCACACCCAUGCCGUGCAGCUCUGCCAGGGCCUACCUGCUUGACUCAACCCUUUUUGUUCCCUCACCCUCUCUGGGUAACUGAGAGAUUUAUACCUUGGCUAUCCUGGGAAUGUCUUUUUAAACUAAUAAAAUUGUUCUUGAGUUUCCUUCUGA
ensembl:processed_transcript